rnacentral:tRNA from 1 species
GCUCUCGUGGUGUAGUGGCUAUCAUACUUUCUUAGGGUCCAGUCUUGGUCUUUAAGCCUUACCUCACGAGCUAUGGAAGUGGUCCUGGGUUCAAAUCCCGGCGAGGGCC